AUUCAAAGUGGAGCUCAUCACAACCCAGUCUUACUUAUCAGUCAGUAAACAUUUAUUAAGAUCUACUAUGUACCAGGCACUGUGCUAAAUCUGGGGAUACAAAGAAAGGCAAAAAUAACAUCUCUGCCCUCAAGGAGAUACUUAAACUGUCUAGGGAGAGACAAUGGACAAAAACAAGUUAGAAAAGGGUUAAAGGGCUAGGUAAAGUAUGACCCUACCUUUCAAUGGGAGGAGAGUGUAGGUAUGAGGUGGAGUCCCAAGGCUAAAGGGAUAUCUCCUGAUGUAAAGGUUUUCCCAAUAAUAAACUUCCUAGGAGGAGUGAGAAAAGUUUCCAGCCUCUAGGGAAGGAAUCCAUGUAAGGACUGAAGGCCAGGCUGGAGCUUAAACAGCUCAGGCCUGAGUGAUGACUUGUCUCUCAAGAAAUUCUCAGAGGAAUGUUGGGAUGGAAGGGGAGAAGAAAAGGAUCCACAACGCAGGAGGAAACAGGAGGGGACUCAUGAGUGAGACCGUGGUACACCCAGCCCCUGAAGUCUUUCCUCCAAGAGGCCCUGAAGGGCUGGGGAGCAAGGGGACAUUGGCUCUGUCACAGGUCUUGUGUACAGGGUGGGCCUUGCUCCCCUGCAGUUCCCUGUAAACAACUCCAGGUCCUCUGACUUUCCUGGCUCCUUCUCACCAGCAAAGUCCAGUGGUAUCUGGCAAAGAUAAAGGAGCUCCCCCAGGGGAAAGCAGACUAUUGCUCAGGCUGGCCAGCUAUGACAACAUAAACCAGGGGUUUUUCAGAGUUGUGGGAGCAUGGACUAUUGCUUCUGGUCAACAUUCUCAUUUUGUGCAGGAAGAAAUUGAGCAUGGGACAAAUAAAAGGCUUGUCUAAGGUAAUGUGGCAAGUUAAACAGCAAAACCAAAAUUCAAAUCCAGGUCUCCUGACUGCCAGAUAUUUCCUCUGUGCCCUUAAUAAACCUUUUCCUUCCUUCCCUCUUUCCAUUUUUCCUUCUUCCUCUCAUUUUUCCUUUCUUUUUUUCCUUCCUUUCCUCCCUUUUUCUUUUUC
rnacentral:lncRNA from 1 species